AUGUCUGUGAGUUGGGAUUGUACAACAUAAUUUCUCCUAACAAGAAUCCAGUACUUCCUUCCAAAUGAGGGCCACAUCUCCCCUUCAUUGCUCUGAUUAUUGAGUCAUUACCAUGGGCCCUUUGUGACUUUGGUGCCAUGUUGAGGACAUCAUCUCCGUGUAUCUUAGGUCUCCACUCCCAUGGAUGUACUUCCCACCAGACUGCUGCAAGGGUGUGGUAUUGUGAGCUGCUCAGGUCUCCCAGGGUCACCUCAAAAUGAUAGCCCUGCUGGUUACACUCUCCUUCCCUGAGCACUGGAAGACGCCAGCAGCUCUACUAUAGCAGCUCAGACAGAGAUGAAGAAUCAGGGAGAGGAGCAGCUUGUCAAUGAAGAUAGAAAGCCACAGGAAACGGGGAGCCUGUCAGAAGUGAGCCCACUUGGCCAGAGAUAAAGCAAUGCCACUCCCCCCAGAGGCUGGAAAAACACUCUCUGUGGAGACACCUGAAGGUUAGGAGCAACGUUUAGAAGCAUUUCUCACCCCAGAGGAGAGACACCCUGGGUGUUGUGCAGAACUUUCUUCAGACUUCAGAAUCCGCUCAUCUAGCAAAGCAAACUCUUUUUGUAGCCUCUGGGCCUACAAAUACAACUGUUUGUUUUACCUGUCCAGGCCCUGAAGUUUUGAUCCAAGACAGCAUUUCUACUUGAUCCUCUUUGUAGAAUAAAGG